GCCUCGAUAGCUCAAUUGGUCAGAGCGACGGACUGUUAAUCCGUAGGUUCAAGGUUCAAGUCCUUGUCGAGGCG
rnacentral:tRNA from 1 species